rnacentral:rRNA from 1 species
AGAGUUUGAUCCUGGCUCAGGACUAACGCUGGCGGUAUGCCUUAGACAUGCAAGUCGAACGAGUUUCCGGGCUUGCUCGGAAAUUAGUGGCGAACGGCUGAGUAACGCGUAGGUGACCUACCCCGUAGUGUGGAAUAACUGCCCGAAAGGGUAGCUAAUACCGCAUGUUGAGCCGACAUCAAUGUCGUCUCCAAAGCAGAAAUGCGCUAUGGGCGGGGCCUGCGUUCGAUUAGCUAGUUGGUGAGGUAAUGGCUCACCAAGGCGACGAUCGAUAGGUGGUCUGAGAGGACGAUCACCCAGACUGGGACUGAGACACGGCCCAGACUCCUACGGGAGGCAGCAGUCGGGAAUUUUGCGCAAUGGGGGAAACCCUGACGCAGCAAUACCGCGUGUGGGAUGAAGGCCUUCGGGUCGUAAACCACUUUUCUCGGGGACGAUAAUGACGGUACCCGAGGAAUAAGCCACGGCUAACUACGUGCCAGCAGCCGCGGUAAUACGUAGGUGGCAAGCGUUGUCCGGAUUUACUGGGCGUAAAGCGCGCGCAGGCGGUGAAUGAAGUCGAAAGUGAAAGCCCCGGGCUCAACUCGGGAACAGCUUUCGAAACCAGUUCACUUGAAGGUGGAAGAGGGAAGUGGAAUUCCGAGUGUAGCGGUGGAAUGCGCAGAUAUUCGGAGGAACACCAGAGGCGAAGGCGACUUCCUGGUCCAAUCUUGACGCUGAGGCGCGAAAGCUAGGGGAGCAAACGGGAUUAGAUACCCCGGUAGUCCUAGCUGUAAACGAUGGAUACUAGGUGUUGGAGGUUUU